UUGAGCUGAAGUUUUAAGACCCAAAUGGCUAUUCUCAACAGGCGUUUGUCUAGUUAGCAAGAUGAGAUUGAGAGCCAACCAUCCCACGUCCCCUAGUAAAUUUCCCUCGUUACAGUUUAAGUAGCAGAAGCCAGCAGCAUUAGCUGGUCCCUUCGUGGACAUCCGAAAUAAUUGGAACGAUACAGAAGAUUAGCAUGGCCCCUGCCCAAGGAUGACACGCACAAAUCGAGAAAAAGUCUAUUUUUUUUGCUGCUUCAAAUGGCUUUCUCUUUUUGAUUUCUCUAGCAGCUUCGUUCAUGGUUUUGGAUACUAGGUUAUUGGGUUGCAAACCAGUAACUUUUCCCAUUGCUGCUCUUAUAUGUUGCUGAUUUAUGAUAGAAUUUGGGAUUUGGUUUAGUUCUUGUUUUGACAAUCCCUUUGCUUGCCGCUGGUUCUCAACAAUUCCGUUUCUAAGCUUCAACCAUUUGCUGCUCAUAUGCUCUCCUUCCGCUCAUCUUUGCCAACUGCCGGUUGCUGCAACUACUACCCUUUGGCCUUUGCUUCUGUUUUUCUGCUCAGUGCUCACUGUUACUGGUGUUUAGGUUCCAUAUGGAUUUAAAUGACGAGGAGGUGUUUCUAAUCAUUAUAUGGUGGUUUUGGAUGGUAAAUGCAUCACCAGGAGCUGAAAGAAUUCGAGACAAUAAUUCAACAUUGACUGGACAUGCAUAUAUACACAAGAAUUGUUAUUUGAGUCGAAUACACAAUACCAUGAAUU